rnacentral:rRNA from 1 species
CUCAAUCUCCUUUGGGAGAUGAAAGUGCCGAUGAAGAUCAAAAUCUUCCUUUGGCAAUUGGUGCGAGGUCGGUUACCCUCGAGUACCGAGGUUCGAAAGAGAAGUGGCCCCAGCGAUGGAAAUUGCCCACUAUGUGAUGUCCCGGAAGACUCCAAUCACAUCUUUUUCACAUGUCCGGCAGCGAUCUUCCUGUGGAGUACCCUUCAGGAGGGGAUUGGUGGCGGAUGGUGCCAUGGCAACCUCCCAGAUAUGUUCCUUGAAGUGCGUAACAUGCCGCCAGUCAACGACCCACAAUGUGGGUGGUAG